UGGGGAAUAUUGGGCAAUGGGCGCAAGCCUGACCCAGCAACGCCGCGUGAGGGAAGAAGGCUUUCGGGUUGUAAACCUCUGUCCUUGGUGACGAAACAAAUGACGGUAGCCAAGGAGGAAGCCCCGGCUAACUACGUGCCAGCAGCCGCGGUAAUACGUAGGGGGCGAGCGUUGUCCGGAAUUACUGGGCGUAAAGGGUGCGUAGGUGGCCUUUUAAGUUGGAUGUGAAAUACCCGGGCUUAACCUGGGGGGUGCAUCUAAUACUGGGAGGCUAGAGUGCAGGAGAGGAAAGCGGAAUUCCUAGUGUAGCGGUGAAAUGCGUAGAUAUUAGGAGGAACACCAGUGGCGAAGGCGGCUUUCUGGACUGUAACUGACACUGAGGCACGAAAGCGUGGGGAGC
rnacentral:rRNA from 1 species